rnacentral:rRNA from 1 species
CUUCAUGACCCGUCUUGAAACACGGACCAAGUAGUUUAUGGUGUAAGCAAGUCAUUGGGUGGAACACUCAUAAGGCGAAAUGAAAGUGGGACACUUGGUGUCUGUGAUGCGAUCCGUGUAUGAUUUGAUGUGUGCGGAGCAGCAUCGACCCAUGACCAGAACUUGUUAUGUUGUGGAGUCUGAGCGUGGGCUUUGAGACCCGAAAGAUGGUGAACUAUGCCUGAACAGGACGAAGUCAGAGGAAACUCUGAUGGAAGUCCGAAGCGGUUCUGACGUGCAAAUCGAUCGUCUGAUUUGGGUAUAGGGGCGCGAGACUAGUCGAACCAUC